GGCCUCCUAGCUCAGAUAGUAGAGCGUGCGCUGUGUAAAAGCGCAAGCGGCGUGGGUGCAAAUCUCACCGAGGCUA
rnacentral:tRNA from 1 species